CCAGUGAGAAUGCCCUCUAUAUCAAUCCGAUCAAAAGGAGCAGGCAUCAAGCCCACUACUACAGUUGCUCAAAACGCCUUGCUUAACCACACCCCCACGGGAUACAGCAGUGAUUAAAAUUAAGCCAUAAACGAAAGUUUGACUAAGUUAUACCAUAAAGAGUUGGUAAAUUUCGUGCCAGCCACCGCGGUCAUACGAUUAACUCUAGUUAAUAAUAUACGGCGUAAAACGUGAUUAAGACUUUUUCCCCCCAAUAAGAUUAAGGUUUAACUAAGCUGUAAAAAGCCCUAGUUAUAACAAAAAUAAACGACGAAGGUAAUCUUAAUAAAUCUGAACUCACGAUAGCUAAGGCCCAAACUGGGAUUAGAUACCCCACUAUGCUUAGCCCUAAACAUAGAUAUUCAACUAACAAGACUAUUCGCCAGAGUACUACUAGCCAUAGCUUAAAACUCAAAGGACUUGGCGGUGCUUUAUAUCCCCCUAGAGGAGCCUGUUCUAUAAUCGAUAAACCCCGCUAUACCUUACCACCUUUCGCAAUAUCAGCCUAUAUACCGCCAUCUUCAGCAAACCUUAACAAAGUUUCACAGUAAGCAUAAUAAUAUUACAUAAAAACGUUAGGUCAAGGUGUAGCCUAUAAGGUGGAAAGCAAUGGGCUACAUUUUCUACUUUCUAGAAUAGCAACUACGUUAACUUCCAUGAAACUGAAAGUCUAAGGCGGAUUUAGUAGUAAGCCAAGAAUAGAGAGCCUGGCUGAAUUGGGCAAUAAAGCACGC
rnacentral:rRNA from 1 species